UACGUAGGGGGCGAGCGUUGUCCGGAGUUACUGGGCGUAAAGGGCAUGCAGGCGGUCGGACGCGUUUCGGGUGACAGCGGGUGGCUUAACUACCCGAGUGGUCGAAAGACGGUUUGACUUGAGGACGCGAGAGGGACACGGAAUUCCGGGUGGAGUGGUGAAAUGCGCAGAUAUCAGGAGGAACACCGGUGGCGAAGGCGGUGAUCUGGGCCGACACUGACGCUGUAGAGCGAAAGCGUGGGGAGCGAACAGG
rnacentral:rRNA from 1 species